rnacentral:rRNA from 1 species
ACUCAAAUGAAUUGACGGGGGCCCGCACAAGCGGUGGAGCGUGUGGUUUAAUUCGAUGCUAAACGAGGAACCUUACCUAGAUUAGAAAUCCAACUGUAUCAUGGCAGAAACGUCAUGAGCUUCGAGAUCGUUGGACAGGUGCUGCAUGGUUGCCGUCAGCUCGUGUUGUGAAAUGUUCCCUUCAGUGGGGUAACGAGCGCAACCCUUAUCGUGUGUUGAUUUUCACACGAGACUGCCGUGGUUAACACGGAGGAAGGUGGGGACGACGUCAAAUCAGCAUGGCCCUCUGAUAUCUAGGGCUACACACGCGCUACAAUGGAUAGGACAAUGAGACGCAACUUCGCGAGAAGAAGGAAUCUCCAAACCUAUCCUCAGUUCGGAUUGGAGUCUGCAAUUCGACUCCAUGAAGCUGGAAUCGCUAGUAACCGUGAAUCAGCUCGUCACGGUGAAUACGUUCUCGGGCUUUGUACACACCGCCCGU